rfam:Musca domestica strain aabys unplaced genomic scaffold Scaffold19666, whole genome shotgun sequence.
AGAUUUGUGAUGAAAAAUUUGAUAGGGACAUCUGAUUAACAAUGACAGAUUUAUCAUGUUUACAAAACUUCUGAUUU